GCUGUCGCUCAGCAGUAGAGCCUCUGCUUUGUGUGCAGAAGGCCCCAGGUUCAGUCCCAAGCAUCUCCA